rnacentral:rRNA from 1 species
UACGGAGGGAGCUAGCGUUGUUCGGAAUUACUGGGCGUAAAGCGCACGUAGGCGGCUUUGUAAGUUAGAGGUGAAAGCCCGGGGCUCAACUCCGGAACUGCCUUUAAGACUGCAUCGCUUGAAUCCAGGAGAGGUGAGUGGAAUUCCGAGUGUAGAGGUGAAAUUCGUAGAUAUCAGGAGGAACACCGGUGGCGAAGGCGACCACCUGGACGAUGAUUGACGCUGAGGCGCGAAAGCGUGGGAAGCAAACAGG